AUGAGCUCAAAUUUGAAAUCUGGCGUCUUUCAGGCGUCCGAGUUGUAAUCUAUAGAGGCGUUUUCCGCGCCGGACCGCGUCCAAGUCUCUUGGAAUAGAGUAUCAAAGAGGGUGACAAUCCCGUACUUGACGCGACAACCGGUGCUCUGUGAUACGUUCUCAAUGAGUCGAGUUGUUUGGGAAUGCAGCUCUAAAUGGGUGGUAAAUUCCAUCUAAGGCUAAAUAUUGGCGAGAGACCGAUAGCGAACAAGUACCGUGAGGGAAAGAUGAAAAGCACUUUGGAAAGAGAGUUAAACAGCACGUGAAAUUGUUAAAAGGGAAACGAUUGAAGUCAGUCGUGUGGGAAGUAUUCAGCCGUCUCUGGCGGUGUAUUUGCUUCUCACGGGUCAACAUCAGUUUGAUCCGGUAGAAAAAGGCGGGAAGAAGGUGGCACCCUCGGGUGUGUUAUAGCUUCCUGUCAUAUGUGCCGGACCAGACUGAGGAACGCAGCUUGCAGCAAUGCCGGGGUUCGCCCACGUACAAGCUUAGGAUGUUGACAUAAUGGCUUUAAACGACCCGUCUU
rnacentral:rRNA from 1 species